rnacentral:rRNA from 1 species
AGCAGCCGCGGUAAUUCCAGCUCCAAUAGCGUAUAUUAAAGUUGUUGCAGUUAAAAAGCUCGUAGUUGAAUUUCGGGGUUAGUAGGUUGGUCAUGCCUCUGGUAUGUACUGGUCUCACUGAUUCCUCCUUCCUGAUGAGCCGUAAUGCCAUUAAUUUGGUGUUGCAGGGAAUCAGGACUGUUACUUUGAAAAAUUAGAGUGUUUAAAGCAGGCUUUAGCUUGAAUACAUUAGCAUGGAAUAAUGAAAUAGGACGUUUGAUCCUAUUUUGUUGGUUUCUAGG